GAUGAAGAACGCAGCGAAAUGCGAUAAGUAAUGUGAAUUGCAGAAUUCAGUGAAUCAUCGAAUCUUUGAACGCACAUUGCGCCCGCCAGUAUUCUGGCGGGCAUGCCUGUUCGAGCGUCAUUACAACCCUCAGGCCCCCGGGCCUGGCGUUGGGGAUCGGCGGAGCCCCCCGUGGGCACACGCCGUCCCCCAAAUGCAGUGGCGGUCCCGCCGCAGCUUCCAUCGCGUAGUAGCUAACACCUCGCGACUGGAGAGCGGCGCGGCCACGCCGUAAAACACCCAACUCUUCUGAAGUUGACCUCGAAUCAGGUAGGAAUACCCGCUGAACUUAAGCAUAUCAAUAAGCGUAGGA
rnacentral:misc_RNA from 1 species